GACGAACGCUGGCGGCGUGCCUAAUACAUGCAAGUUGAGCGCUGAAGGUUGGUACUUGUACCGACUGGAUGAGCAGCGAACGGGUGAGUAACGCGUGGGGAAUCUGCCUUUGAGCGGGGGACAACAUUUGGAAACGAAUGCUAAUACCGCAUAAAAACUUUAAACACAAGUUUUAAGUUUGAAAGAUGCAAUUGCAUCACUCAAAGAUGAUCCCGCGUUGUAUUAGCUAGUUGGUGAGGUAAAGGCUCACCAAGGCGAUGAUACAUAGCCGACCUGAGAGGGUGAUCGGCCACAUUGGGACUGAGACACGGCCCAAACUCCUACGGGAGGAAGCAGUAGGGAAUCUUCGGCGAUGGACGAAAGUCUGACCGAGCAACGCCGCGUGAGUGAAGAAGGUUGUCGGAUGGUAAAACUCGGUUGGUAGAGAAGAACGUUGGUGAGAGUGGAAAGCUCAUAAAGUGACGGUAACUACAGAGAAAGGGACGGCUAACUACGUG
rnacentral:rRNA from 1 species